GCUGGAUGGUGGGGUAACGGCUCACCAUGGCGAUGAUGUCUAGGGGUUCUGAGAGGAAGACCCCCCACACUGGGACUGAGACACGGCCCAGACUCCUACGGGAGGCAGCAGUGAGGAAUAUUGGACAAUGGAUGGAAAUCUGAUCCAGCCAUGCCGCGUGCAGGAAGACGGCCCUAUGGGUUGUAAACUGCUUUUAUAUGGGAGCAAUAAGGUUUACGCGUAGACCGAUGAGAGUACCAUAUGAAUAAGCAUCGGCUAACUCCGUGCCAGCAGCCGCGGUAAUACGGAGGAUGCGAGCGUUAUCCGGAUUUAUUGGGUUUAAAGGGUGCGUAGGCGGCCUUGUAAGUCAGCGGUGAAAUUUUGCAGCUUAACUGUAACAGUGCCGUUGAUACUGCGGGGCUAGGAUUUGGUUGCUGUGGGUGGAAUGUGUGGUGUAGCGGUGAAAUGCUUAGAUAUCACACAGAAUAUCGAUUGCGAAGGCAGCUCACAAAGCCAAGAUUGACGCUGAGGCACGAAAGUGUGGGGAUCAAACAGGAUUAGAUACCCUGGUAGUCCACACUGUAAACGAUGAUAACUCGCUGCCGGCGAUACACAGUCGGUAGCCAA
rnacentral:rRNA from 1 species